rnacentral:miRNA from 1 species
AACCUUGCCGGCCGGGAGGAUUCCCUCCAGGUCGGCGAGGUUGUACAGCCUCGCCGACCAGGAGGACUCCCUCCUGGCCGGCGAGGUU